ACAGCCUGCAGAGUCAAUAAAGGUUUACCAUGCACACAUUACUCGCACUAUGCUGACGCCGCCUGCUGAGAAGGCUAACGUGACGCAUCCAUGCAUAAAACAGGAAGGAGGGAGGAAGGCGAAAGGAGUGAGCAACUGGCCUUGAACACAACACAACAAAUUAAUGAAGCGUGCUCGUUAGCUCCACUCCGGAAGAGAGAAAAAAAAAACAACAGUGAUCAGCUCGUUUGAACAACUGCUAACAUAUUGCGGUUGUUACAGCUUAGUGGGUAGAUGCAGGGGUAAUUAGCUAACACGCUAACAAAUGCUGUCUUCAGGUGUACGUUAUAAACAAGGUCGCGUUGAAGACCUACUUUGAGUGGAAUGUGAUUUGUUAAAUGGAGUUUUGCUGAUGUUGUUGGAUUUGGGAUUUUUGCUUGCCCUCACCUUGUUCCAUUGACUUCAUGGAUCUUACAUCAAUAAGAGCACUUCAUCAAUGCUGAGGCAUUAUAGAGCUCGGCAUGGCAAUGAAGAAUUGGCAGAUACACUCGUGUGAGUACCCCAGUUCCUAACAAGCAAGCAGUGGAUGGGGCUGUGGUCAACAUGGUUAUCAAAGACUGUCAGCCACUCACCAUUGUUGAAAAUGAAGGAUUCAAGGAGCUCCUGAAGCUUAUCAACUUGCAGUUAAAUUUUUAUGCUCGCCACCUUCAUCUGUACCCUGUGAAAUAGUUUUUUCUAAGGCAGGGGAAUGGGUGUCUAAGAGGAGAAAUCGCCUUGGAGCAGACUUUUGUUCCUCAAUAAAAAUGCAUAAAUC